rnacentral:rRNA from 1 species
CGCCUUGCCAGCCCGCUCAGAAACUCAAAGGAAUUGACGGGGGCCCGCACAAGCGGAGGAGCAUGUGGUUUAAUUCGAUGAUACGCGAGGAACCUUACCUGGGCUCGAACGUAAGAUGACUGUAGGUGAAAGCUUACAUCUCUUCGGAGCAUUUUACGAGGUGCUGCAUGGUUGUCGUCAGCUCGUGCCGUGAGGUGUCGGGUUAAGUCCCAUAACGAGCGCAACCCUUACCGUUAGUUACCAUCAGGUUAAGCUGGGGACUCUAGCGGGACUGCCACCGUAAGGUGAGAGGAAGGUGGGGAUGACGUCAAAUCAGCACGGCCCUUAUGUCCAGGGCUACACACGUGUUACAAUGGCCGGUACAAAGGGCAGCUACUUCGCGAGAAGAUGCUAAUCUCGAAAGCCGGUCUCAGUUCGGAUCGAAGUCUGCAACCCGACUUCGUGAAGCUGGAUUCGCUAGUAAUCGCGCAUCAGCCAUGGCGCGGUGAAUACGUUCCCGGGCCUU